rnacentral:rRNA from 1 species
AACGAACGCUGGCGGCAUGCCUAACACAUGCAAGUCGAACGAGACCUUCGGGUCUAGUGGCGCACGGGUGCGUAACGCGUGGUAACCUGCCCUUAGGUUCGGAAUAACUCCCCUAAAGGGGUGCUAAUACCGGAUAAUGUCUUCGGACCAAAGAUUUAUCGCCUUUGGAUGGGCCCGCGUUGGAUUAGCUAGUUGGUAGUGUAAAAGCCUACCAAGGCGACGAUCCAUAGCUGGUCUGAGAGGAUGAUCAUCCACACUGGGACUGAGACACGGCCCAGACUCCUACGGGAGGCAGCAGUGGGGAAUAUUGGACAAUGGGCGAAAGCCUGAUACAGCAAUGCCGCGUGAGUGAUGAAGGCCUUAGGGUUGUAAAGCUCUUUUACCCGGGAUGAUAAUGACAGUACCGGGAGAAUAAGCUCCGGCUAACUCCGUG